CGUUUUAUUUUUCACAUGUUGAUGGGCUCCACAGCCCGACCAUAAUCCUUACCCGGCAGUGGGGAUGCAGAGCUGCUGCUGCUUGGUUAGUUCUUAGAAUUACUGGUAUCCAAUGUCUUAACAAACACCAAUGGUGCCACACAGUGUUGUUUCUAGUUUGAAAAUGUGAAGCAAGACAAUCCCACCGCCACUGCCAGACACAGCUUGAAAGCCAGUCCCCUCCCCGCACUGGCCCAGGGCUUCUGGCUACAGGCCUGCUCAGUACACACAGAAUCGUCUUAGAAGAAACCCUCCAGCUCCUACCUGUUACCUUGUGCAGAUAGAAAGGUCCUCAGGAGUCCAUCAGGGGGACAGAUGAAGACUGCUCGGCAGGAAGCUGGUGGAAACUUCUAAUAGCUUCGCAUGUUCAAAAGGAUGUGGGUGCUUACCUAGUGCCCUAGAAACAGCACAAGCCAUAACGUGACGUCUCUGAGUGAAACAGGCCUAAAGCCACAAAGGAGAUAAAACAGAUAACAAACAAUGUUACAACACAUUCAAGGCUGGCAAAAUUUUGGAGGACUAAAUCUAAAUGGAGCUGCCUGUCAAAAUGUCACAGUUCCCAUAAGACAAUGGAAAUCUAUAUUCUUUCCUAGACACGACAGGGCCAAGAUAAGGAGUGCUGGUUGAUGUUCUCCUUGGCCAAAUAAAGUUGUGAAGUUGAUGGCAAAUGCCAUGUU
rnacentral:lncRNA from 1 species